AGACGUACUAUAUGCGAGUGAACGAGACCUUGGGGUCUAAUGGCGCACGGGUGCGUAACGCGUGGGAAUCUGCCCUUGGGUACGGAAUAACAGUGAGAAAUUACUGCUAAUACCGUAUGAUGUCUUCGGACCAAAGAUUUAUCGCCCAGGGAUGAGCCCGCGUUGGAUUAUCUAGUUGGUGGGGUAAAGGCCUACCAAGGCGACGAUCCAUAGCUGGUCUGAGAGGAUGAUCACCCACACUGGGACUGAGACACGGCCCACACUCCUACGGGAGGCAGCAGUGGGGAAUAUUGGACAAUGGGCGAAAGCCUGAUCCAACUAUGCCGCGUGAGUGAACAACGCCUUAGGGUUGUAAAGCUCUUUUACCCGGGAAGAUAAUGACUGUACCGGGAGAAUAAGCCCCGGCUAACUCCGUGCCAGCACCCGCGGUAAUACGGAGGGGGCUAGCGUUGCUCGUAAUUACUGGGCGUAAAGCGUCCGUAGGCGGCUUGCCAAGUCAGAGGAGAAAUCCCACGUCUCAAUCGAGGAUCUGCCUUUGAGACUGGUUCGCAUGUUAAUGGAAGAGGUUAUCGUAAUUCCGAGUGCAGAGGAGAAAUUCGCAGAUAUUCCGAAGAACACCGGUGGGGAAGGAGACUAACUGUUACCAUUCUAGACGACGAGGGACGAAAGCUUGAUUAGCUAGUAUGAUUAUAUUUCUUGGUCGUCCACCCUCGUAAACAAUGAAAACUAUCUGUUGGGGUAUCUUAUAGCUUCAGUGAGCCAACCUUAUGAAUUCUGUUCCCUCGCUUGGAUAGUACCUGCCGU
rnacentral:rRNA from 1 species